UCAGUAGGGACUCAGUAGGGAACAAGGCAAUGGCUUAUAGCAAAUCAAGCAGUACAAAACAACCAGGGGGAUCACCAGAGACACUACACACAGGGUGAUGAUGUCCAGGGUAGAAAGAGAGUUAUAGGAAGGGUGAUGGUCAGAAGGAUCCCCAGGACAUGUGUUUAAAAGGGACUGGUGAAAAUGGGACCACCGCCACCUUCUCUCCAGAGCUGCAUGCAUGCCUUCUCUGCUCUCCGGCACUCCAUACCUCACCCUUCCACACCCCGAAUGAUUCAGCAUGCUCAGCUGAGACUGGAGCUCAGAGGUCACUCCUCACUACCCAGCAUGCCUUUUUGUACCUUCAGCAGUCCCUUCUCUCCCAGGAGGCAGCAGUGUCAUAUCUAGUGCCAAAGUCCUACACCUAGCUUUUCUUCAGCUCACUGAAUUAGAGGAGGAGGAAGAAGCUUUUUCUACAUUGAGAAAAUGAGAGCAUUUGGAGUCAAACUAUUACUGGUCCCUGGGUCAUGAUGAGAAGCUAAGAGCAGAAACCAAAAUGAAAGAAUCUCAACAAGUCAUGUAAGUCAAGCGUGAGGAAGGGCUGGAAUGCCAUACAGUUGAAACGCACAAGAGCUGAAGUGUCCGCUAUCCAGUAAGGAGAUACCUUGACUCAUGUCAACAGUCCUGGCUACGUCAAGCAGCUACAUGAAUCCUAAAUCACUCUUAGAACAGCAAAGCAGAACUCCAAACAAGGCAUCGUGAGAAAGCACAUACAUACUGAGGGCUGAUGUCCAACUGGUUCUGUAGGUGCCUCGGGCCAGAUUCUGUUCCAUCUAUUAGGCAUGUAAGUGGAAUCACCUAAGUGUGACUCUAUUCCACCCUGUUCAGGUCCCUGAAAAUCUAUUACUGCCUGUUUUUGUAAUAAAGUAUCAUCUGACCCUGAAGCAUGAGUCCAAAAAAGCAGUGAGAAGGAGAAGAACACACCUGCCUACCUUUAGUAUUAACAGAUUUUGAAGGACUCAAGCAGGAUGGAAUAGAAUCACACUUAACUGUCUAAGGACGCUUGUACACGUGACGGGGAUUUAAUUCCCAAAGUUUUACUCUAUUCCUCCUAAACUGAAACGGUGGGGCAUAAAAUAAAACCCUGAGGACUAAACCAUUUAAAUUAUUUUCAUCAAGUUACAGUGGGGGGCCUGAUCCUUUUUUUUUGUCAGAGUCGGAGCCUGCUGAUCGCUGGGGGGUGGGCUGGCAGUGGGCUGAGCUGCCCCUGAGCUGUGGGGGGCCCAGGUCCUUCCCUCCAUGGUGGUGGCACCCCCUGGGGCUGUGUGGGUGGCUGUCUAGUGGGCCGGAUGCUGCCCCAGACUGGAGGUAGCACUGAGCCUGCCCGGGGAGCGGCACCAGGCAGGCUUCCAGUGGACAGGAUCAGGGAUCAGUUGGAUUGGGCCGAGUGUUGUCUCAGAGCUGGGGCAGCACCCGGCCCACUAGUAGCCCACUUGGGCAGCCCCACGGGAUGCCACCACCACAGAGGGGAGGCCCAGGGCCCCCCAAAGCUCAGGCUGGAGCUGGAAGCCAACGGCAUGCGGCAAACUUGUGGAGUGGUGGCGCACUCGGCAUGGGGCAUGGAGCCCCCCAAAGCACGGGGUCUGGGGCAGUUGCCCCAGUUUGCUCCCUGCCCAAGGGAUGACUCUGCCUGGGGCCACCUGGGAUAAGAUGGCUUGUCCCUGGGGCAGCACAGAAAGAUGGCAGAAGGUGGUGGGCAUGGUGCAUGGGGAGCUGGAAGCCCAGACCAGCUCAGGGAAACUCUGGCCCCUAAGAGUUGGGUAUCUUGCACUAAAAGAGCAUUCAAUCUGACCACAUUAAACACCCAGGAUCCCUAUGCGACCCAUGCAUACACUUUGGCAGUACUUACGAGCCACUGAGGUUCAGGUGGCUACAUACCCUAUAGAGUACAGACCUGUAGACACCUCCAAAAGGACAUUUAGAAAUUCCAAAUGAAAUACUAAAUAUAGUCCUGGUAAAAAGGACCAGAACCCCAAUUCCCGCAUCUCACUGGAGUGCCAUAGCCCCUGGGCUACAAAAACAUGUUCUCUGUUUCUUUUUUUGUUUUUUGCUUCAGCACUGUUUUUGAUUUUUACAUUCAAUGGUUGUUAAUUAAAAGAAAAAAGAAAUAACUGGGAGAAGAGACUGAAACCCCUGACUUUCUUCCCAGUGGAGUGCCAUAGCUUUUAGGCUACAGAGCCUGACCACUUUUUCCAACUGUCUUUUGGACCCCCGUGAUUCUUGUAGUCUUGCCUGUACAGUGGUACACUUCUACAGGAGGGAUGAAGGGUGUCCCCAACCAGUCUAGUCCUUUCAUAGUCAUUAGGCACUUCCCUGUAAAGUGAAUUGUGGGUUUGAGGCCCCCUGUCACCAAGAGGGCCUUAAAUUUAGCUGUUCUGAUUUGGGGGCAAGUGUUCCAAACUGUAGUCUAUUGGGCAAAAGGUAAGCACUGCUUCUGUCAUUGCUUUAUUAUCUAAAUUCAAUGCUGUUGAUGCAAGUCAGGCAUGGUAUAAACACGUAUACCAGCAGGGGCCUCUUCAGAGACUUAGAGUCUGGUCCUUAAAUUCCAUCUAUUCCACCUAUUAAAUGUGUAAGUGGACUUAGGCACUUACACCACCCUUUUCAAGUCCCUGAGAAACAGUUAAUGCAAAAAGUAGUUAGAUCCUCUUUCUCCUCAUUGCUUUUUUGUGAUUCAAUAUUAAGGGUGAUGUAACUGUGUGUUAUAAAACUAUAUGUAUUCAGGGAUUGUUAGGGAAAUCACAUUUAAGUUUACUUAGGGCCAGACUGUUUCCCACCUAUUGGGUACAUAAUUGGAUUUAGGCACCUAAGUAUGAUUCUAUUCCAGACUGUUCUAGUCCCUGAAAAUCCAUUUUGCAUCUGCUUUCUGCAUCUGUCCCUUAAAACUGCGACACAGGCAGAGGCUGCUGGGAAAUGGAGUCUUGCCGCAAGCUGGAUCCACCAUUUUGCCCACGCCUGCAUUAGGCCCUAUGCUCCACCUAGGUAUAAUACCUCAAUCACUUCUGAGCAUGUUCAGAAACCCCAGUAUAGAUGCCUCAGGAGCCCUGUGAUCCAAAAUGGAGGCAGCUAACAAAUGUAGGUGCCUACUGAGUUUUGUGUCUUCUGGUGCAAGGCCAUGAUCUUUGUAAUGUAGACUCUUAAACACUUCCCAUCUCCUAAUUAAGUAUGGAGGGUCCAAUUUGAAUCUGACUGUCAGCCUUCACAUUAAUGCCUUUAACAUGGUUCUGUCAGCAGGAUAUUUUGGGUUCUCAAGCUAGGUAACUGAUGUGGUAAGAACGAGAUACUAACAAAAGGUAUCGGAGACUAUAAACGAAACCUUUGUCUGUCUCUCAAGUCAAAUCUACUCCUGGUCUUUUACUGAGGUUCCCAGAAGUUUUUUUUGUGUUUUCCUUUUAUUUUUCAUUUCUCUGAACUCUGGAGAUGUCAAUGAACCACAAAGGCUGUUCAAAGCCUUGGCACAGUAAAACCCAUGGUAACCUUCUCCUAUCAACCAUUUACAAAUGUGACCACUUAAUGUCAGCUAAAAAGUCCUGCUCCAUGAACCAAGCAACCCUUCCAUUCAAGCUGUUCUUCCUCCUGAGCUUUUUGAGGAACCCCAAGUGCAACAGAACCUGGAACUGUGAACAGAUUCCUUGUAUGCUAUACACAUAGGUGAAAGCAACUGAAAUAAUAAGAAACUGCAGCUUUGGUACUAACAGCCUACUCCAUCAGUGUCAAUUAGGAGGAGCUACAAUAAAGCCUAUGGGUAUGAUUCAA